rnacentral:rRNA from 1 species
AACGAACGCUGGCGGCAUGCCUAACACAUGCAAGUCGAACGAGACCUUCGGGUCUAGUGGCGCACGGGUGCGUAACGCGUGGGAACCUGCCCUUAGGUUCGGAAUAACUCCCCGAAAGGGGUGCUAAUACCGGAUAAUGUCUUCGGACCAAAGAUUUAUCGCCUUUGGAUGGGCCCGCGUUGGAUUAGCUAGUUGGUAGGGUAAAAGCCUGCCAAGGCGAGGAUGCAUAGCUGGUCUGGGAGGAGGAUCAGCCACACUGGGACUGCGACACGGCCCAGACUCCUACGGAAGGCAGCGGUGGGGAAUAUUGGACGAUGGGCGCAGGCCUGAUCCAGCAGUGCCGCGUGAGUGAUGAAGGCCUUAGGAUUGUAAAGCUCUUUUACCCGGGAUGAUAAUGACAGUACCGGGAGAAUAAGCUCCGGCUAACUACGUG